GUCAAGUCAUCAUGGCCCUUACGCCUGGGGCUACACACGUGCUACAAUGGCCGGCACAAAGGGCUGCAAACCCGCGAGGUGGAGCGAAUCCCGCAAAGCCUGUCGUAGUUCGGAUUGCAGGCUGCAACUCGCCUGCAUGAAGCCGGAGUUGCUAGUAACCGUGGGUCAGCCACACUACGGUGAAUACGUUCCCGGGCCUU
rnacentral:rRNA from 1 species